GACGAACGCUGGCGGCGUGCUUAACACAUGCAAGUCGAACGAUGAAGCCGGAGCUUGCUCUGGUGAAUUAGUGGCGAACGGGUGAGUAACACGUGAGUAACCUGCCCUUGACUCUGGGAUAACUGCGGGAAACUGUAGCUAAUACCGGAUACGACCCUCGGAGGCAUCUCCUGGGGGUGGAAAGAAUUUCGGUCAAGGAUGGACUCGCGGCCUAUCAGCGAGUUGGUGAGGUAAAGGCUCACCAAGGCGACGACGGGUAGCCGGCCUGAGAGGGUGACCGGCCACACUGGGACUGGGACACGGCCCAGACUCCUACGGGAGGCAGCAGGGGGGAAUAUUGCACAAGGGGCGCAAGCCUGAUGCAGCAACGCCGCGUGAGGGAUGACGGCCUUCGGGUUGUAAACCUCUUUUAGCAGGGAAGAAGCGAAAGUGACGGUACCUGCAGAAAAAGCACCGGCUAACUACGUGCCAGCCGCCGCCGUAA
rnacentral:rRNA from 1 species